GUCUUUGGAGCUUCUGAGUUGUGUCUUCUUGUCUAUAACUAUAACUAAAUAAUUAACAGCUAUGAUUUAAUAUAUUUACAAUAAUUGUGAAUUACCUGAUAUUUACCUAAUAUCAAUAAAGAAAUCCCUUUAAUCGGCAAACCGAUGCCAAAAAUUCUUGAACUUAAAUUACCUACAGUGAAAGACGUUAUGUGUAUCUUUUUUCAUCAUCUGAAUUUUCUUGAAUAUUCUGUGAAACAAAGUGCUAAAAAUGUAGCUGAUGAGGUUAUACAGUUAUGGAAAAAAAAUGACAUUCCGACUUCUGGUACUAAUAAUGUAGUGCAAAGAAUCAUUCGAUGUCAUGGCAAAUGGAAAAGACAAAUGGAUAGUAGACGCUGUGAAAACUCGAGAUAGUAUAAAUUCUAAAGUUAAGAGAUUUGAAAUUGACCGAAAGAACAUCAAUUCGAUUAUUCAAAAAGAUUUGAGUGAUUUCGUUUCUCAAAAAUCAUUAAAUUUGUUCAAAAUCUUUGAUCUAUCAUAUGAUUCUUGAUGUCGAUAUUGAAUUAUAGACAUCGGAUGAGAGUUAUAAAGAAAAUGAAGAAUAUUUCAAGCAAUUGAAAGUUGUUAAUGACGUUGCAGAGCGUGGAGUAGCGUUGGUAUCUGAAUACAAUCAGUGUUUGACAAAAAACGAACACCAGUUUCAAUAUUUACUGCAAGUUGUCAAAGAACAUCGAGCGAAAUUCCCUAACUGUGAAGAGAUUUUAUCCAGUCAUUUUAUGAUCGAGGAAUUCAAAAAAAUUUUUCAUCGGAUCCGUGUAAUGAUUGUGUGAAGAAUGAGGGUAAUGAUAAUUCAACGAAUGCGGAUGUCUUGAGUAUAAAGGUUCAGCUCUUUUAGUCAGUCUUCUCUACUCUGAACUCUCAUUUAUCUUAACGAAAUUUUAAUCCCUAAAGAGUUCAUGGACCGGACGGACACUGAGAAGAGUAUAUUGAGUUUAAGUUGUGUAUAGAGGAUAGGAUAGAGGUUUACGAGGAAUCGUGAUCUUCCGCGAGCAAGCAGUUGCCCUUGCAACUAAACCAAGAAUACGCUCUUUUAUACUCGGCUUGACGAUCGACCCAGGCUUGAUCCUUUUUGUUCUCCGUACUGAGAAAUCAUGUGAUAAUCUUAUAUUAUAUAUAUACGUGUAAGUACGUGACUUUGUCGGCUCACACGAACCAUAUUUUAUCGAUUCCAAGAUUAUUUAAUCAAUAUAACGAUGUUAAAGAAUGCUUUUUUAUUUUUAUCGUUAAUAUAUUGUUUUAUCAGAUAAUUAAAGUGAAUUUUAAAUACAACUUUUAUUUAACUUCAAUAGAAAUAAUAAUUUCGGAAUUUAUGCUUUUAAGUACAGAUGUAUAAGAGCUAGAUGUCAUAAAGAUAAAAAAUAAUUUAAAUUCUACGAAUUAUGUAUAAAUGAACUGAAUUUCUUUUUUAAAAUUUUUACGUAGGUUGAACUACGAGAAUUCGUCACGACGUCAAAGCCACAUUUAACAGACCGAUUGACGUCGUAGAAUCUGGUGCUCUUUAUAUAUUACUCACACGUAUUUAUUAUAUGUAUACAGUAGUUUUAGUUUCCUCAACACUCCGGUGAGAAUGAUAUAUACAAGUGUCUACUUUACUGUCUUCUCUAUUUUAAAAAAUAUUUCCACAAGUCGCCGACCGCAUCAUUUAUAGAUAAACCAUUUACUGGAAUAGAUAACUGAUUUUAUGGCAGUUUUUUAAAUACUAUUUUUAUUUUAGUUUAUUUUAUUUAUUUAUGAUCUUAAAAAACAAGUUAUCUAUAUAAAUUAAAACAUAUAUAUUACAAAUGUAGUAAAACUGGCUCGACGGUGUCUCGUCGAAAUUUUUUAUGUUAAAAAUAAAUGGCGCCGGUUGUUAUAACGUCGAUCGACAAUGACAUUCUGGCAACUCUUGUCUGUCAGACACUCCAACAAAUUCACCUCUAAUAUUUUUAAUAUAUAUAUAUAGAUGUAUAAUUCGAUGAUAUCUAUUUUCUUACUCAUUUCUUAGGAAGUCUAUUUACUUUUUGACCAUCGCAAUAUUUAAACUUCUCAGCCCAUUACGUCUCUCGUUUAAUUUUUAAUCUCAACAUACGUCAUAUUUGUAGACUAUAUAUGUCAUCUGGUAAUUUAAUUUCGUAAAAAUCAAUGAACGUGUUCUACAAAGCAGAUAUAUCGGAAUUUAAAUCAUUUUCGCGAUAAAGUCUAUUUGUUUGAUAAA